UUUGACAGACGUACGCCAGGCGUGGACGACGUCCAGGGAAUUGGAAUAAAAUAACGUUUAAAAGAAAAGUAAUGCAUACGAAUUGGGAAGGAUGUAACUGUUUAUGUCAAACUUCAGCUUCGACCGACAACUGGUGUGAAAGUGAAAGAAGGAGACGACGUUGUGAGCAAGUUUAAAUGCGAGCGACACCUUGCUAGCACGUUUGUUUGUCGUAUGGUAUUUGAACAGAGACUGGUUGUAAUGCGGCGUCAAGAUACAGAAUGGUGUUUCUGCCGUUAACGACAGAAAUUAACUUCGAAGAACUUCAACUAUGACUCUUUUGGCUCAGUCCGGAAAGAGAUGGAUUACGGCUUCAUGUGGACAUUUUGUUUACCACACUCGAGAUAUGCAGUGGUAUAAACGCAAGUUCACCAAUAUGUCAGAGGAACUGGACCGGAAGGGUCACCUACAACAUGAACGGAAGGACAACGUAAAGCGGAAUCACUGUCCAGCGACAUCUAUUGUUGAGGUCGUGGGGGCAACAGUCUGAGCAGGGACACCCAGACUUCCCUCUCCCCAGACACUUCCUUCAGCUCUUCUGUGGAGAUCCCGAGGCGUUCCCAGGCCAGCCGAGCAACAGAGUCGCUCCAGCGUGUCCUGGGUCUCCACCCAGUGAGACACGACCCAAGCACCUCCCAAGGAUCACAGACAUUGGCACAAUCAUCGUGGCAUAUACAUCAUUUAUGGCCAACUAAAAAAUAACUUUCUGAAAAACAUCCAACUAGGGCCACCUUGGUUGUCAUGUUUUUUAACAGUUCAUUGUAUUAAAGC